UAAAACCGAUCCUGCAAACAGAUAAAAAUGGAUCGAAAAGCAAACUGCUGGUGCAGUGGUACACCCUUUGCAGGCUAGCAAACACACCCUUGUAGGGUUCGGCUCCGUGCCCCCAACCCCCAUCCAUCUCGCCACCUACUCCAUCGAGACCCGACGACCCCGAGGCAUCCAAGGCCGAUCGCCGCCGCCGCGCCCUUCCUCCCUCUCCCCAUCCCCGAGCAGCUCCUACCAACUCCGGCCGCGCUCAUAACCGACCCAGGUCGUCAACAAGGAUGCAAAUCUACGGAAAAAAAAGGGAUGCAAAUGAUGUACUAUGACAGAAGAAGCUGGAUUUGCCAGACCAGUCUGGUGAAGAGUAGGAAGAAGAAAGAACAAACUGAUGAAAUGGGUGUACCGAGUUGUCUGAAAAUACUGUUGAUGCUGAAUAAAAUCGCCUCUCAAGCACAGUAUUCUUGCUA